rnacentral:rRNA from 1 species
AUGGCGCGCGCCUCCCUCCCGGACCAGCCCGUCCUCUACACCUUCCAGGAGCUCGCCAAGCGGGGCUCCUCCGACACCUUCUGGCGCUGCUCCCUCCGCUCCCGCCCAGCCGCGCUCUUCCAGCUCCGACCGCUCCCGCUUCUCACGCCCGCCUCCGCCUCCGCCGCGCUCGCCCGCUACCACCACGCCAGCCUCGCGCGACUCCUUGGCGCCUGCCCCGCCGGCGCCCACGUCUACCUCGCCUACGCCCUCCCCCCAGGCGCCUGCACCCUCGCCGCAUACCUCUCCUCCUCCUCCUCCUCCUCCUCCUCCUCCCGCGCCGGCGGCAGCAGCACCAGUAGAAGCGUGGUCCUCCGCACGUGGCUGUCCCGCGUGCAGGUGGCCGUGGACGUGGCCCAGGGCAUCGAGUACGCUCACGCGCACGCCGACGCCGCGCACGGCCGCGUCUCCCCCUCCACCGUGCUCCUCGCCCCCGACGCCCACGGCAGCAAGAGCCAGGGCGUGCUGCUGCUGGGGCUGCUGUCCGGGGAGGCGGCGGAGAGCCGGUACCGGUUCGACCGCGCCACCAAGGAGUUGGCGCGGGUGUCGGUGGUGGACACGGCCGCGGAGGCGCUCCGGAGCGGAGCUGGGUGGACCGGCAGCUGA